GUUGGUGAACCAGCGGAGGGAUCAUUAGAGGGUCGCGAGGCCUCCUAAUCUCUUCAACCAACCCGCGUACCACCCGAGGGGGCCCGCAAGGGCCACUACAAGACUGCCUCGGUCGGCGGCCCCAGGGGGGGCCUCUGCCCGCGUCCGGCGCGUGAUUGCCCGGCGCGGGUGCCGGCCGGUGGCCCAAACCAAAACUACCGUAUAAUACCUAUUACCUUCUGAAGAAAUGAUAAAUCAUUACAACCUGCAACGAUGGAUCUCUUGGCUCUGGCAUCGAUGAAGAACGCAGCGAAAUGCGAUACGUAAUGUGAAUUGCAGAUCUCUCAGUGAACCAUCGAAUUUUUGAACGCACAUAGCGCCCGCCGGUCAUUCCGGCGGGCAUGCCUGUCCGAGCGUCGAUGACGCCGCUCGAGCCCCCGUGCUCGGUGUUGGGGCGCUAGGUCUCCCAGAGGCCUAGGCCCCCAAGUAGCAGUGCGCGGUCCGGCUGCGGGCCCCGGGUAGAGUAACUUCACUGUUGAGAUGCCCUGGGACUCGCUGGCCGGGUCAGCCGUAAAACCCCCGCAUGGGCCUCCCCCAACCCGCCCGCGGCCACCCCAGACCGCCUAAUUGAC
rnacentral:rRNA from 1 species